UGCUUACUAUAUAGCCGAGGCUGUCCUGAAAUUUACUAUAUAGCCCAGACAUGCCAGGAACUGCAGAUCUUCCUGCCUCGGCUUCCACCAUACCUUGUUUAAAAAAGACCAUGCGUCCUCUGUGUUAGCCUGUUUGGUAUUCUUUCUCUUUAUCCCUUCCUUUUCCCUUCCCUCCAAGGUCAUGUUUCCCAGACUGUCCUCAAACUCUUGAGUUUCACAACAUUCUUCUAUCUUAGUCGCUGAGACUUAGCAUGCAUCUGUAAAAUCCAAGCUUUUUCUCCCAGCCCCAAGCUCCCUGAAUAACGACCCUGAGACUCAAAUUGUACUUACAAACUCCUAGGCCAUAAGUUUUGGCUACUCCCUGACCAUCUCAUGAAUCCCAUUUAUUCUAAUCUAAGUUCUGCCACGUGGCAGGUUACCUGUGUUCCGGUUCCAUGCCUGUCCUCCUUCCUGUUCAAGGUGCCCCAUCCUCCUGCGAGUCCUCUAUCCCAGAAUCCUUUCUUCCUAUCAGAAUAUCCCACCUUCUGUUUCCUGUCUCGGCUACAGGCCAGUGAGCUUUAAUUGGUGUUCCGUCCAUACUGUACACAGAGCUUGUCUCUGAGUAUCACUGUAGCUGGAUGCCCUACAAGUUUUCACGUUUUCUGUACCGCUGAAGAGCUCUGCUUAUGUGGAGACGGAGCCUUUGGUAGGUAGGUCAGUGCUCCUAGAGCUUACACUUGCUUUUCCUAUAACAGUCUUUAUCCAGUAGGUAGGGAAUUCAUAUACCUGUGGGUAUUCUGCUGUAAUAGGUGCCCCUAAUAUAACCCAGUUCAGGCCAGACCCCCUUCCUUACCUGGCCUUUAAGUGCUCCACUGAAAGUAAUAUGUCAUAGUGAUAUUUUGAAAUUAGUUAGCUCAAGGCCAGAGACUAGUAAAUCCUAAUUUUUUUUUGUUUUCCUUUGCCAGUGUGAGUUACCACAAGAAAUGUGGUGCAAAUUCUUAAGAUAGGGUCAUGGAAUAUGAAUGUCGCUGUGCUUGGCCAGGGUUUGUCAGAAUCGGGUGCCUGGCCUCACUGUAAUUAAAGGGAUGACCCAAGCUUAGCUGUCAGCUGAGAAGUGGCACUUUCCCUAACAGGCUAGUCUCGUAGUCCUGAAGUGAUGGAGCUAGCUGCCUCCCACUCCCCAUUCAUUCAGAGGCUCUAGUGUCUUCCUCACCAGUGUGUGUCAUACAGCAAAGACUAUGCUAGGGACAUACAGCAAGAUCCCACUAGAGACUUGGACAAGACGUCGUUAUCGUCCUGAACUGAAAAGCAGGAAGUCAGGCUGGGAAGAAGGCUCAGUCAGUAAAACGUUUGAGGACCUAAGUUCCAUCCCCAGAACCAGUAUUAAAAGGCCUAGGAGAUGGGUAGACCUCUGGGACUUUCUGACCAGUUCCUGGGGGCUGGAGAGAUGGCUCAUCGGUUAAGGGCACUGACUGCUCUUCCAGAGGUCCUGAGUUCAAAUCCCAGCAACCACAUGGUGGCUCACAACUGAUGUCCUCUUCUGGUGUGUCUGAAGACAGCUACAGUGUACUUAUAUUUAAAAAAAAAAAAAGAAAAAAAAAAACAAGCUCCUGGAGAAUGACAGGACAUGAAACUGUCAUCUGACACUGACGCACGCAUGCAGGAUGAGUACAGCCUCAGGCAGAACAGACCCUGCCUUGGUGAUAGGAAGGGCCAAUGGGAACUGCUUUCUGCUGUGUCACUGGACUUCCUUAAUAAGCAUUUUUGUUGUUGUUGUUUUUUUUUUUUUUUUUUUUUUUGGUUUUUCGAGACAGGGUUUCUCUGUGUAGCCCUGGCUGUCCUGGAACUCACUUUGUAGACCAGGCUGGCCUCGAACUCAGAAAUCUGCCUGCUGCUGCUGCUCCUACUGCUCCUCCUCCUCUUCCUCCUCCUCUUCCUCCUCCUCCUCCUCCUCCUUCUCCUCCUCCUCGUCCUCCUCUUCCUCCUCCUUCUUCUUCGUAGGUGGUAGUGAGUUUAAUCUGAGGAAUAAAGCUAAUUGGCUGUGAUGAUGCUUGGGUGGGUGCACUACUGCACUUGGGAGGAAGGAGUUGCCUUUGAAUUCUGACCAGCACGUGUCUGGUCAGGUCACUGUGAAAGGUGUAUCACCAGAUACGGUGUUCUGGAAAGAAACAGUGGCAUAGGACUUGGCAUCUGUCUGACAGGCUGGAGAAAGGCUGUACAGCAUUUCUGCAACUCCCUGCUGAUUGGAAGCUCGAGGCUGUAUCUUUCAUCUUAGUUACAAACUGGAACUUUCUCACUCACCGGCAUUUGUCUUAGGAAGAAGCGCUGAAUUUGUUCACACAUUACAAAUCCACUUCCUCAGUUUCCUAAAAUGCUCAAGGUGUAAAGAAGAAAAUUGAAAAAGAAAAAGAAAAGAUUUUGUUCCCAAGAAGAAGACAGAGAAGAGAGGAAAGAGGCAAAACCAGUGAGAUUAUCAGGUCCUGCAUGUGGCCUUCCCCUGGGGUCCCCUACUUUUAGUGGCAGGUUAAUUUUUAGAAUGCCAGUAGAGAAGACACGUGUGGCACGUAAUGGAACUGGACAGACAUUUGAGUCACCUCGAUGAGCUAAGACCCCAUGGAAAUUAGCAAGAAUCGUGACAAGGGCUUUGGGUACUCACCACGACUGCACUCUGGAAGAGACAUAGGAAAGGCACCAGCUGACCUGGUUUACAUUAUUGAGUGUGUCUGGUUGUUGUGUUCUUUUACAUAGAACUCUGGUGGCUGUGAGGCGAGAGUGCACGAAAGAAACUCAGCAGUAGCAGGGACCUGAGAUCCAGCAAGUUCUGGUGAUCCCUGGAGAACAGGGAAGCAAGACAAGAAAGGACUGUAAAGUCAGAGAUAAAAUAAGUGACUUCUACAAAUAUUCCUUCAGAAAAGUGCAGUCUCUGGAGAUAAAUGAUCAGAUAGAAAAGCAGCAUAAAAACUAAUUUUUGUAUGUAGGCCAUAAAAAGUACUUUUAAAAUAUAUCUCUUAUUUUAGUAUCCAAGCUAUAAAGUACUUAAGAAUCGAUUUAACAAAAUAUUUGCAAAAUCUUUAGAGAAAAUUAUAAAAAAUGUUUGCAUACAUUAAAGGAAAACAGCUUAAACUAGUGAAGAAAUAAAAUCUCUGGUUAGGAAGUUCAGCGCGUGAGAAGAUGCCAGCUGUCCUCAGACUGACACCCAGAUUCAAUGCAAUUCCAAUAAAAAUCCCAACAGGUGUUUUUGUGGAACUUGCCAAGCUGAUUCUAAAAUUUUUAUGGAGGAGAAAAGAGUCAAGACUAGCCAAGACAAUCCC
rnacentral:lncRNA from 1 species